rnacentral:rRNA from 1 species
GAUGAACGCUGGCGGCGUGCCUAAUACAUGCAAGUCGAGCGAACAGACGAGGAGCUUGCUCCUCUGACGUUAGCGGCGGACGGGUGAGUAACACGUGGAUAACCUACCUAUAAGACUGGUAUAACUUCGGGACACGGGAGCUAAUACCGGAGGAUCUAUUGAACCGCAGGGGGCGAUAGUAAAAGACGGUUUUGCUGUCACGUAUAGAUGGAUCCGCGCUGCAUUAGCUAGUUGGUAAGUUAAAGGCUUACCAAGGCAACGAUGCGUAGACGACCUGAGAGGGUGAUAGGCCACACUGGAACUGAGACACGGUCAAGACGACUACGGGAGGCCGCAGUAGGGAAUCUUCCGCAAUGGGCGAAAGCCUGACGGAGCAACGCCGCGUGAGUGACGAAGGUCUUCGGAUCGUAAAAAUCUGUUACUAGUGAAGAACAAAUGUGUAAGUAACUAUGCACGUCUUGACGGUACCUAAUCAGAAAGCAACGGCUAACUACGUG